rnacentral:rRNA from 1 species
UGCCAGCCGCCGCGGUAAUACGGAGGGUGCAAGCGUUAAUCGGAAUUACUGGGCGUAAAGCGCGCGUAGGUGGUCUGUUAAGUCGGAUGUGAAAGCCCCGGGCUCAACCUGGGAACUGCAUUCGAUACUGGCAGACUAGAGUGCGGGAGAGGGAGGUAGAAUUCCAUGUGUAGCGGUGAAAUGCGUAGAUAUGUGGAGGAAUACCAGUGGCGAAGGCGGCCUCCUGGCUCGACACUGACACUGAAAGACGAAAGCUAGGGGAGCAAAUGGGAUUAGAUA